rnacentral:rRNA from 1 species
CUUGAUUAGUGGCGCACGGGUGAGUAAUGCAUAGAUAAUGUGCCCCUUAGUUCGGGAUAGCCACUGGAAACGGUGAUUAAUACCGGAUACUCCUUCUUGUUAUAAGACAAGUCGGGAAAGUUUUUCGCUAAGGGAUCAGUCUAUGUUCCAUCAGCUUGUUGGUGAGGUAAUGGCUCACCAAGGCUAUGACGGAUAUCUGGUUUGAAAGGAUGAUCAGACACACUGGAACUGAGACACGGUCCAGACUCCUACGGGAGGCAGCAGUGAGGAAUAUUGCACAAUGGAGGAAACUCUGAUGCAGCAACGCCGCGUGGAGGAUGACGCAUUUCGGUGUGUAAACUCCUUUUAUUAGGGAAGAUAAUGACGGUACCUAAUGAAUAAGCACCGGCUAACUCCGUGCCAGCAGCCGCGGUAAUACGGAGGGUGCAAGCGUUACUCGGAAUCACUGGGCGUAAAGGGUGCGUAGGCUGGCUUUUAAGUCAGAUGUGAAAUCCAAUGGCUCAACCAUUGAACUGCAUUUGAAACUGAAAGCCUAGAGUUCAGAAGGGGCAGAUGGAAUUAGUGGUGUAGGGGUAAAAUCCGUAGAUAUCACUAGGAAUAUCAAAAGCGAAGGCGAUCUGCUGGGAUGAUACUGACG